AUGACGGUCAGAAAAAAAUACACGCAUACCAAUAUAUAAUAGUAUAAAAUAUUUAUUUUCUUUAGUAUUAAAAUAUUUUAACUGUUUAUUAUAUAUCUUUAUCAAAAUUUUUGAAUUUUAUUGAGAAAUCACUUAUCAAUUUAAAAAUGGAGAGUGUUGAAUUGUGCCACAAAUACGAAAAUUGUAUCGUGUCAAUAUUUUGUUAGCACGAUACAAUAUGCUAGAUACGAUCCGUACCGAUUGACACUUAAAUUCUUGGUCUAGCAUCAUUUAAAGCUACGAAUUAGUUGUCAUGCAAUAAGAAAAUAAAUAUAAAAACAUGGCAGAGCUCCCUGGUUGAUUAUGAAGUUUAUUCAUACUCAAUCAGGGAGAAAGAAUGAGGAAAAAUUUCGGGCUAACAUGGUGGAAGUGGUAAAAGGCUUAGUGGUUGGUAUUCGAAAUUCAAAUUUAAAUUUUAGUUGAUUCAUAUUUUAAGCUAAGUUUAUUUUUAAAUAAAAUAAACGAAGCAGAUAGUGUGCUAUCUAUCUCUUAAAAAUAAAAAAAAUAAAAAAUAAAAACAUGGUGGAAGUGGUUGUGUGGGU
rnacentral:lncRNA from 1 species